GGAUCAACUCUGCUUAAGCCAGACUGGUACAGAGAUGACAAAGAUACAGUUGCAGCUGUGCAGAGCCUGGAGUCAAGUGGGGAGGACAGAUGUGAAAACUACUGAUGGAGUCACUGACUUUCAACUCAUGGCCAGUACCUUGUCAACACCUGAAAUUGUCACCUCUGAAAUGGUCGUUGUCUUUGCCAACGCGAUGGCUGCCGGUUCUGAGGGAGCCAUCAUGAUCUCUCCAUGACUUCUCACCCUGUUAAGUAAGCCCUGAAUAAACGUUCA